rnacentral:rRNA from 1 species
UACGAAGGGGGCUAGCGUUGCUCGGAAUCACUGGGCGUAAAGGGUGCGUAGGCGGGUCUUUAAGUCAGGGUGAAUCCUGGAGCUCAACUCCAGAACUGCCUUUGAUACUGAGGAUCUUGAGUUCGGGAGAGGUGAGUGGAACUGCGAGUGUAGAGGUGAAAUUCGUAGAUAUUCGCAAGAACACCAGUGGCGAAGGCGGCUCACUGGCCCGAUACUGACGCUGAGGCACGAAAGCGUGGGGAGCAAACAGGAU